GCGCCGCCGCCCCGCCCCACAAGGCCCCGCGCGGCCGCGGCCUCUCCUCAGCGCGGCGGCUCCGCGGCCCGAGCGGCGGCCAUGGCGCCUCCUGAGCGCGGCGGCAAGGUGAGCGGGCAUGGACACGAUCCAGUAACACCUUAUUCCUACUUGGAGAAGUUGCUAAGGUUUCUGUUGGUUUGAGGACACUGCUGGACUUGAGUUCACAUGUGUGGUUCAUUAGGUGUGUAAUGUUACUUAUCCC
ensembl:lncRNA